GAAAGAUGGCUUUGGCUAUCACUCUGGGAUGGACCUGCGGUGCAUUAGCUGGUUGGUAAGGUAAUGGCUUACCAAGGCGAUGAUGCAUAGCCGAGUUGAGAGACUGAUCGGCCACAAUGGAACUGAGACACGGUCCAUACUCCUACGGGAGGCAGCAGUAGGGAAUCUUCCACAAUGGGCGCAAGCCUGAUGGAGCAACACCGCGUGAGUGAAGAAGGGUUUCGGCUCGUAAAGCUCUGUUGUUGGAGAAGAACGUGCGUGAGAGUAACUGUUCACGCAGUGACGGUAUCCAACCAGAAAGUCACGGCUAACUACGUGCCAGCAGCCGCGGUAAUACGUAGGUGGCAAGCGUUAUCCGGAUUUAUUGGGCGUAAAGCGAGCGCAGGCGGUUGCUUAGGUCUGAUGUGAAAGCCUUCGGCUUAACCGAAGAAGUGCAUCGGAAACCGGGCAACUUGAGUGCAGAAGAGGACAGUGGAACUCCAUGUGUAGCGGUGGAAUGCGUAGAUAUAUGGAAGAACACCAGUGGCGAAGGCGGCUGUCUGGUCUGCAACUGACGCUGAGGCUCGAAAGCAUGGGUAGCGAACAGGAUUAGAUACCCUGGUAGUCCAUGCCGUAAACGAUGAGUGCUAGGUGUUGGAGGGUUCCCGCCCUUCA
rnacentral:rRNA from 1 species